CCCCUAGAUGUUCUGGGCCGCACGCGCGCUACACUGAACAGUUCAACAAGUCUUAACCUUGGCCGAUAGGUCUGGGUAAUCUUUGAACGCUGUUCGUGAUUGGGAUAGACCUUUGCAAUUAUGGGUCUUCAACGAGGAAUUCCUAGUAAACGCAAGUCAUCAGCUUGCAUUGAUUACGUCCCUGCCCUUUGUACACACCGCCCGUCGCCCCUACCGAUUGAAUGACCCGGUGAAAUCUUCGGAUCGUCGUAUUGCCCGAUUCAUUUCGGGCGAUGUGACGCAAAGUUGAUUAAACCUUGCCAUUUAGAGGAAGGUGAAGUCGUAACA
rnacentral:rRNA from 1 species